rnacentral:rRNA from 1 species
UAGGGAAUAUUGGACAAUGGGGGCAACCCUGAUCCAGCCAUGCCGCGUGAGUGAAGAAGGCCCUCGGGUUGUAAAGCUCUUUUGUCCGGAAAGAAAAGCAUUCGGUGAAUACCCGGAUGUUCUGACGGUACCGGAAGAAUAAGCACCGGCUAACUUCGUGCCAGCAGCCGCGGUAAUACGAAGGGUGCAAGCGUUACUCGGAAUUACUGGCGUAAAGCGUGCGUAGGUGGUUGUUUAAGUCUGAUGUGAAAGCCCUGGGCUCAACCUGGGAAUGGCAUUGGAAACUGGGCAGCUAGAGUGCGGUAGAGGGUAGUGGAAUUCCCGGUGUAGCAGUGAAAUGCGUAGUGAUCGGGAGGAACAUCUGUGGCGAAGGCGACUGCCUGGACCAGCACUGACACUGAGGCACGAAAGCGUGGGGA